GUUUUAUAAUUAAUAAAAUUUUAAUUUUAGGAUUUUUAAUAUUUUAAUAAUUAUUUUAUUGGGGUGAUAUAUAAAUUAAAAUAACUUUAUAUUUUUAAUAACAUAAAUUAAUGAUUUUUUGAUCCAUUUUUAAUGAUUAUAAGAAAAAAU
rnacentral:rRNA from 1 species